UGGUGUUUGGUAUAUGUCUGUACUGAAGGAUUUCUCCAAUAAGAUGUUUGUACUCCUCUACUUUAAGAAAAAGGAUAAGCAAAAGUUGCGGGGAAGGGAAAUUGAUUGGCCUGAGCUCAAGCCUUGCAUAUACAAGCGUCGUUAAGUUGUCCAAGUUUGCAGUAUCAGUCAUGUAGAGUUUUCUUGGCGUCGAUACUUUUUUGAGUUUCCAUGUCUUAGGAUCUAGAUGUACAACAAAUUGACAAUAUGAGAGUCUUGAAACAUUUUAGUAAUAUUUUUAUAGCAUC